ensembl:lncRNA
GGUUUGGAUAAAGCCUUUGGGAGUCCUCUGUUGAAGAGAGUCACACCUGCACAACAAGAUCAAAAAAUGUGUGACGAGGAGAGGGAAAGGAAAAGGUGAUAAUACAGGAACUUAAUUUCCUGGGGAAAGAAAGUUGAAACACAGACUGCAUGUCACCAUUAUAUUAGAUUUCCUUGAUGUUCUGUAAGAUAUCUUUUUAAGAAAGUGGUCAAAAAUGAAAAGUAGGACUGAAAAGUUUCUGCAUAAGAGCAAUUUCAAAGUCUGUCCUUUAAACAUUUAUGAACAGAAACCAAGAGACUGCACAGAAAAUUCAGACUGUGAAAUUCUACAUCAACAGACUAUUUUCAGAUUUCCUGUGGCUGCAAGGAUGUUCUCCAGAAGAGAAUAUGGAUCAAGUGGACCAGGCAGCUGGAUAAAAAGGGAAUAUGCCACAAGAAGAGGCCAGGAGAAGAAGUACCUGCUCUAAUGAGAACAUACAAGUUAUUCAAGGUGUGAAGUCUCUGUACCUACCUUUGGGAACUGGGUUCUUAGCUUGGCAAGUCAUUCAGUGCAUUCCUCACAUAAAGCUGCUAGGGAAUGGUAUUAAUUGCAAUAAGUCAAUAAGUUUGUAAGUUAAUCAGGUACUCAUCCAAGGCACAGGAAGAAUCUGUGCAAAGGAAUACUAUUCCCAGUAUUCCUAAUAUUACAUACAUAAUGGCUAUGGAACACAUAAAAAUAUAUAUGAAAAUGUUCAUGGUUUUGCUAUAAAACAAGC